GGAUAAACGCUGGCGGCGUGCCUAACACAUGCAAGUCGAACGAAGAGGCCCCUUCGGGGGUACUUCAGUGGCGAAUGGGUGAGUAACACGUAGGUGACCUGCCCCGAAGCAGGGGAUAACGGCUCGAAAGGGCCGCUAAUACCCAAAAUGGUCGCGGUUCAAAUCGCGAUCAGAGCUAUGGCGUUUCGGGAGGGGCCUGCGGCCCAUCAGCUAGUUGGCAGGGUAAUGGCCUACCAAGGCGAUGACGGGUAGGGGGCCUGAGAGGGUGGCCCCCCACACUGGCACUGACACACGGGCCAGACUCCUACGGGAGGCAGCAGUGAGGAAUAUUGCGCAAUGGGCGAAAGCCUGACGCAGCAACGCCGCGUGGGUGAUGAAGGCCUUCGGGUCGUAAAACCCUUUUCAGGGGGAUGAGAGAGGACGGUACCCCCUGGAAUAAGGUUCGGCUAACUACGUGCCAGCAGCCGCGGUAAAACGUAGGAACCGAGCGUUAUCCGGAUUCACUGGGCGUAAAGCGCCUGCAGGCGGUCUUGUAAGUUGGAUGUGAAAUCUCCCGGCUUAACUGGGAGGGGCCAUUCAAUACUGUGAGACUUGAGGGCAGAAGAGGGAAGUGGAAUUCCCGGUGUAGUGGUGAAAUGCGUAGAUAUCGGGAGGAACACCAGUGGCGAAGGCGGCUUCCUGGUCUGCACCUGACGCUAAGAGGCGAAAGCUAGGGGAGCGAACGGGAUUAGAAACCCCGGUAGUCCUAGCCGUAAACGAUGGACGCUAGGUGUGGGUGGUCCUAACCCCAUCCGUGCCGAAGCCAACGCGUUAAGCGUCCCGCCUGGGGACUACGACCGCAAGGUUAAAACUCAAAGGAAUUGACGGGGGCCCGCACAAGCAGCGGAGCGUGUGGUUUAAUUCGAUACACGAAGAACCUUACCCGGGUUUGACAUGCAGGUGGUAGUGAAGCGAAAGUGGAACGACCCUUCGGGGAGCUUGCACAGGUGCUGCAUGGCUGUCGUCAGCUCGUGCCGUGAGGUGUUGGGUUAAGUCCCCUAACGAGCGCAACCCUCGCCGUCAGUUACAAGUGUCUGGCGGGACUGCCGGCCUAAAGCCGGAGGAAGGUGGGGAUGAUGUCAAGUCAGCAUGGCCUUUAUAUCCGGGGCUACACACACGCUACAAUGGCCAGUACAAUGGGUUGCCAACCCGCGAGGGGGAGCCAAUCCCACAAAGCUGGUCUCAGUUCGGAUUGGAGGCUGCAACCCGCCUCCAUGAAGCCGGAGUUGCUAGUAAACGCGCGUCAGCCAUAGUGCGUUGAAUACGUUCCCGGGCCUCGUACACACCGCCCGUCACGUCAUGGGAGCUGGCAACACCUGAAGCCGGUGAGCCAACCGCAAGGAGGCAGCCGUCUAAGGUGGGGCUGGUGACUGGGACGAAGUCGUAACAAGGUA
rnacentral:rRNA from 1 species